GCUCAGGACGAACGCUGGCGGCGUGCCUAAUACAUGCAAGUUGAACGCAACAAAGACACCAGAGCUUGCUCUACCGUCUUUGUUGAGUAGCGAACGGGUGAGUAACGCGUGGGUAACCUGCCUUGUAGCGGGGGAUAACUAUUGGAAACGAUAGCUAAUACCGCAUAACAAUAGAGAUUGCAUAAUCUUUAUUUGAAAGUGCCAACUGGUACACUAUGAGAUGGACCCGCGUUGUAUUAGCUAGUUGGUAGUGUAAUGGACUACCAAGGCGAUGAUACAUAGCCGACCUGAGAGGGUGAUCGGCCACAUUGGGACUGAGACACGGCCCAAACUCCUACGGGAGGCAGCAGUAGGGAAUCUUCGGCAAUGGACGAAAGUCUGACCGAGCAACGCCGCGUGAGUGAAGAAGGUUUUCGGAUCGUAAAACUCUGUUGUUAGAGAAGAAUGUUGAUUAGAGUGGAAAAUUAAUCAAGUGACGGUAUCUAACCAGAAAGGGACGGCUAACUACGUGCCAGCAGCCGCGGUAAUACGUAGGUCCCGAGCGUUGUCCGGAUUUAUUGGGCGUAAAGCGAGCGCAGGUGGUUUAAUAAGUCUGAUGUAAAAGGCAGUGGCUCAACCAUUGUGUGCAUUGGAAACUGUUAGACUUGAGUGCAGUAGAGGAGAGUGGAAUUCCAUGUGUAGCGGUGAAAUGCGUAGAUAUAUGGAGGAACACCGGUGGCGAAAGCGGCUCUCUGGACUGUCACUGACACUGAGGCUCGAAAGCGUGGGUAGCAAACAGGAUUAG
rnacentral:rRNA from 1 species